UAACGCGAAGAACCUUACCAGGUCUUGACAUCUUCUGCUAACCUAAGAGAUUAGGCGUUCCCUUCGGGGACGGAAUGACAGGUGGUGCAUGGUUGUCGUCAGCUCGUGUCGUGAGAUGUUGGGUUAAGUCCCGCAACGAGCGCAACCCUUAUUGUCAGUUGCCAGCAUUUAGUUGGGCACUCUGGCGAGACUGCCGGUGACAAACCGGAGGAAGGUGGGGAUGACGUCAAAUCAUCAUGCCCCUUAUGACCUGGGCUACACACGUGCUACAAUGGACGAUACAACGAGUCGCUAGACCGCGAGGUUAAGCUAAUCUCUUAAAGCCGUUCUCAGUUCGGAUUGUAGGCUGCAACUCGCAUACAUGAAGUUGGAAUCGCUAGUAAUCGUGGAUCAGC
rnacentral:rRNA from 1 species